rnacentral:rRNA from 1 species
GGGGGGGGCAAGCGUUGUUCGGAAUUACUGGGCGUAAAGGGUCGGUAGGUGGCCCGCUAAGUCACACGUGAAAUCCCUCAGCUCAACUGGGGAACUGCGUGUGAGACUGGCAGGCUCGAGUGCAGGAGAGGAACGCGGAAUUCCAGGUGUAGCGGUGAAAUGCGUAGAUAUCUGGAGGAACACCGGUGGCGAAGGCGGCGUUCUGGACUGUAUCUGACACUGAACGACGAAAGCCAGGGGAGCAAACGGGAUUAGAUACCCCGGUAGUCCUGGCCCUAAACGAUGAAUGCUUGGUGUGACGGGUAUCGAUCCCUGUCGUGCCGCAGUUAACGCGUUAAGCAUUCCGCCUGGGGAGUACGGUCGCAAGGCUGAA